ACGGCCGUCACAUCGGGUACAGAACCUUCCCGCAGUGCACACAUAUGUGGAUGUUGGGGUCGGUGGCACCGACAGAUGGCCUACUCCAGCUGACAGCAUGCUGGUGGAAUCAAACCUUCAACCCUCAUAUUGAAGGAUUGCCCUAACCACUGAGACACAACCACUUCAAAGGUUUGGUGAAGGAAUGGAACUGCUCAUCACUUUAUGGAGAACUGUUGGCACCGAGCUGGAAGUGGUAAAUAACCAGCAGACUCCACAACUUUGUGUUUGUUCAACAUGGAGAUGCUCCUGAUUGUUWCAAACUGCACCAUCCAAACAAAGCCUGAAACAAAUGACAGCUGAAGGCCUUCAURGUAGUUCUGUUUAUAAGCAACUCUUUGCCCAGUGGUGUGAUGAUCAAAUCUUGGUCUAAAAAUGAUGCUGUGCCUGCAGUCAAUGAGACGAUGUCCUGUGACCGCAGCAAAGAAAUCAUGCGGUGUUUGUGGUUUGACAACAAGGACACCCAUGCUGAUCGUGUGAGGACCAACGGAUUUGCUGCAGUUUUGGACACGACGUUUCGUACACAACUUCCAUCAGAGCUACGUACCAGGAGGACAACACAUGGCUGUUGACGAGCAGCUGUUUCCAUACAAGGCCAGCUGUCCUUUCACCGUAGAUCUCAACUAAGCAAGAUAAAUUUGGAAUAAAGUUCUGGAUUGCUGCAGACUUGGAGACUUAUAUUCAACAUUUAGGAAAGGACGUCCAUUAUCCUAAGGGAGAAAGGAUGUCUGAGAAUGUCGUCAUGAAGCUCAUGGAGCUGCUUCUGUGCAAAGGAAGUAUUGUCACCAUGGAUAACUUCUUCACAUCUAUAGCACUAUAGAUGUGUGCACCAGUCUGGCUUCCAUAGAUCACACUCUACAGAAACUGUUCUACUUCAUGUAACAAAUGAUCUGCAAAUGUCUGCUGACAGAGGAAUGUACUCUGUUCUGCUUUUAUUGGACCUAUCCUCAGCGUUUGACACUGUGGAUCACACCAUCCUACUUCAUAACCUGAGAAAUAUAGGGAUAUCAGGAACUGUCCUAGACUGGUUCAACUCUUACCUCCACACAGGUUAAUAAAUCAGGCAGUAUCACACUCACUCCUAACAAGAAGUCGGUCUGUGUUCUCAGCACCAUGUACCAAGUGCCACUUGCCAAAGAGCACAAACAGAAACCAAACACUAUUACAGAGUAUAACUCCWUGAAAGUAUGUACAUGAAUAAUGUUGCUGCACUGGCUUCAUGUACUUAUAGUAUACAUGUCACACUGUUUUUCCACAAUGUAACAUUUACUUUAAAAACUUUUUUUUGCAGUGUGGUGUUGACUUAAUGGACUAGAUGGUGCGUGUGUAUACAGUGUGUGCUUGCAUACGCAAGCCUACAUGUCAAGUUGUGCAGAUUGUCCAUAAUUUACACAGGUUUUCCCUCAUUUUGCAGGAGUAUAGGGCAAUCACAGAGAUUUUUUCAAGUUUUACAGAUUUUUUCRAAAGACUCAGUUUCAAAUUUAUUUAAUAUGCAGAGCCUGUAGGAUGUUAAAAGCAAUAAACAACAUCAAAUAACAAUCUUCCAACCCGCUCUGCCGCUAGAAAUGUUCUUCCCUCAUUUCCUCCUGCUUUGUGCUGCAGAYGCUGUCAUAUCUGCGGCAGCCAGUCCACCUGGUCUGGGACCACCUUGGGAUCCCUCAGGAGGAGCAGGAGUGUUUUGCUGGGGAUAAAGAUGUCUGGGUUUCUCUCCUGAACUUGUUGCUUCUGCAACUUGACUAUGACUCAGCAGUCGAAAAUGGAAAUAUACAUGAUGAUGAUUCCAUAGUUUAUUGUGGUUUUGAGGGUUUUCCCUUGAUAUUGUUCCUGUUUGUUGUUGGGUUUUGAUGGUUUGAUUUUGCUCUCGGUUUUUAACCRACAUUCAUUUUCCUUCUAGUUCCUGGUUCCAGCUCAUUGCACACCACCAUGCUCUGGUUAGCAAUCAACACACCUGUUCCCAAUCGCUAUCUGCCCUUUAAAUAAUAUAUAUUUCCUUUUUUUAUUUUCCCUGUGCCAGUUGUCAGAUGUUCUGUUAAUCCUUGUUUAAGUUUUGUUCUGCUGGGAUUCCAACAUGUUGAACUUUUAAUUUUAUUAAUUCAUCCUUCCUCCUGCUAGCCUGCAUGUUGGUCCUCAUAUCUUCUUUUUAAAGUAAAAUAAGAGAAACAACUCAUUCUUUGCAGCUGUGGCACCUAUAGAGAACACAUACUCGGUGUAAACUAUUGCUUUUCGGUACCUUUCCUGAUGCAGACCUCCGCACUCCUGUUUUGUCAUGCCUUCCUUCUACCUGAGUCUAUUCUUCUGUCGCCUCACUUUUAAACUUAGUUUAUUGUCGGCGAGCUUGGCUGGGCUUGUCAUUUACAGAAAAACGAUGAGGUUAAAUCUCUACACAGAAAA